CUACGGGCCGCAGCAGUGGGGAAUAUUGGACAAUGGGGGAAACCCUGAUCCAGCAAUGCCGCGUGUGUGAAGAAGGCCUGCGGGUUGUAAAGCACUUUCGGUUGGGAGGACUGCUUCUAGCACUAAUAUUGUUGGAAGUUGACGUUACCUUCAGAAGAAGCACCGGCUAACUCCGUGCCAGCAGCCGCGGUAAUACGGAGGUGCAAGCGUUAAUCGGAAUUACUGGGCGUAAAGCGCGCGUAGGCGGCUAGAUCAGUCGGGUGUGAAAGCCCCGGGCUUAACCUGGGAACUGCAUCCGAUACUGUCGAGCCUGAGUACAGGAGAGGAGAGUGGAAUUCCACAUGUAGCGGUGAAAUGCGUAGAUAUGUGGAGGAACACCAAUGGCGAAGGCAGCUCUCUGGCCUGAUACUGACGCUGAGGUGCGAAAGCGUGGGGAGCAAACAGGAUUAGAUACCCGUGUAGUC
rnacentral:rRNA from 1 species